rnacentral:rRNA from 1 species
UACGAAAGGGGCUAGCGUUUUUAGGAAUUACUGGGCGUAAAGCGCACGUAGGCGGCCUUGUAAGUUGGGGGUGAAAUCCCGGGGCUCAACUCCGGAACUGCCUUCAAGACUGCAAAGCUAGAGGACGCGAGAGGUUAGCGGAAUUCCGAGUGUAGAGGUGAAAUUCGUAGAUAUUCGGAAGAACACCAGUGGCGAAGGCGGCUAACUGGCGCGUUUCUGACGCUGAGGUGCGAAAGCGUGGGGAGCAAACAGG